UACGCGGGGAGCAAGCGUUGUUCGGAUUUACUGGGCGUAAAGGGCGCGUAGGCGGUCGUGACAAGUCACUUGUGAAAUCUCCGGGCUUAACUCGGAACGGUCAAGUGAUACUGUCGGACUAGAGUACAGAAGGGGCAACUGGAAUUCUCGGUGUAGCGGUGAAAUGCGUAGAUAUCGAGAGGAACACCUGCGGCGAAGGCGGGUUGCUGGGCUGAUACUGACGCUGAUGCGCGAAAGCCAGGGGAGCGAACGGG
rnacentral:rRNA from 1 species